rnacentral:rRNA from 1 species
UACGUAGGGUGCGAGCGUUGUCCGGAAUUAUUGGGCGUAAAGAGCUCGUAGGCUGUUCGAUAAGUCGGGUGUGAAACCUCCAGGCUCAACCUGGAGACGCCACCCGAUACUGUCAUGACUAGAGUCCGGUAGGGGAGAAUGGAAUUCCCGGUGUAGCGGUGAAAUGCGCAGAUAUCGGGAGGAACACCGGUGGCGAAGGCGGGUCUCUGGGCCGUUACUGACGCUGAGGAGCGAAAGCGUGGGGAGCGAACAGG